GACGAACGCUGGGGGCGUGCCUAAUACAUGCAAGUCGAACGAACCGCGACUAGGUGCUUGCACUUGGUCAAGGUGAGUGGCGAACGGGUGAGUAACACGUGGGUAACCUACCUCAUAGUGGGGGAUAACAGUCGGAAACGACUGCUAAUACCGCAUAGGACAUAGGAUCACAUGAUCCAGUGAGGAAAGGUGGCGCAAGCUAUCGCUAAGAGAUGGACCCGCGGUGCAUUAGCUAGUUGGUAGGGUAAAGGCCUACCAAGGCGAUGAUGCAUAGCCGACCUGAGAGGGUGAUCGGCCACAUUGGGACUGAGACACGGCCCAAACUCCUACGGGAGGCAGCAGUAGGGAAUCUUCCGCAAUGGACGCAAGUCUGACGGAGCAACGCCGCGUGAGUGAAGAAGGUCUUCGGAUCGUAAAGCUCUGUUGUUAGAGAAGAACAGCGCAUAGAGUAACUGUUAUGCGUGUGACGGUAUCUAACCAGAAAGCCACGGCUAACUACGUG
rnacentral:rRNA from 1 species